UGCUAAAUCAACAAAAACCAAAAAACAAACUUAACCAUAAUUUAAACCAUAAACCAUAAUCUUCAUUACAUAAAUCAACUAAACCAUAAUCCAUCAAAUUCAUUACAUAAGUCAACAAAUCCAUUAUCCAUCAAAAGAACUAACUAAAUUACAAUCCAUAGUUAACUAAAGAACAAUAUUAAUCAUAAACCAUAAUUUCAUUACUAGAAAACUAGCAUGCAUCAUUACAAAAAACCAAAUAUUAUUAGCAACAAUCAAACAAAAGCACUAAGUAGAAGGUCCUUCAUUGCGUGAUCCUCGACUUAAUCCUGGAGUUGGCAUGAAUCUCAUCGAUGUUUUCUCCCUUGUGUUGUUGUAUGCUUUAAUUGGAUCUACAAGUUCCGGACUAACUACGAUAUUUUUGACAGCAACUACUGGUUUAAAAACUGGAUUCUUCGGCCUCCUCAACAAUCCAACACCAGUAAUA
rnacentral:lncRNA from 1 species